GACGAACGCUGGCGGCGUGCUUAACACAUGCAAGUCGAGCGGUAAGGCCCUUUCGGGGGUACACGAGCGGCGAACGGGUGAGUAACACGUGGGUGACCUGCCCUUAGCUCUGGGAUAAGCCUGGGAAACUGGGUCUAAUACCGGAUAUGACCCCAUAACGCAUGUUGUGGGGUGGAAAGCCUUGUGCGGCUAGGGAUGGGCCCGCGGCCUAUCAGCUUGUUGGUGGGGUGAUGGCCUACCAAGGCGACGACGGGUAGCCGGCCUGAGAGGGCGACCGGCCGACACUGGGACUGAGACACGGCCCAGACUCCUACGGGAGGCAGCAGUGGGGAAGUCUUGCGCAAUGGGCGAAAGCCUGACGCUGCGACGCCGCGUGGGGAUGACGGCC
rnacentral:rRNA from 1 species